GCACUCGUAGCUCAAUGGAUAGAGCGCUUCCCUGCGAAGGAAGAAGUUGUGCGUUCAAGUCGCACCGAGUGCACCU
rnacentral:tRNA from 1 species